GGUGAACGGGUGCGUAACACGUGAGUGAUCUGCCCGCUUUCGGGGGAUAACCGGGGGAAACCCCGGCUAAUACCGCAUGGGCCUGCGCUCUGCAUGGAGAGCAGGUCAAAGGUCCUCUCUAGAAGGGGACUGAGAGUGGAGGGGCUCGCGGCCUAUCAGCCAGCUGGUGGGGUAAUGGCCUACCAGGGCGAUGACGGGUAGCUGAUCUGAGAGGAUGAUCAGCCACAUUGGGACUGAGAUACGGCCCAGACUCCUACGGGAGGCAGCAGUGGGGAAUCUUGCGCAAUGGUCUAACGACUGACGCAGCGACGCCGCGUGCGGGAGGACGCUCUUCGGGGUGUAAACCGCUGUCACCUGGGACGAAGCCCGAGGGGAGGCAAUGCCCCUUAGGCGGACGGUACCGGGAGAGGAAGCACCGGCUAACUCCGUGCCAGCAGCCGCGGUAAUACGGAGGGUGCGAGCGUUGUUCGGAAUUACUGGGCGUAAAGCGCACGUAGGCGGCCCUGAUAAGUCUGGCUGUGAAAGUCUGCGGCUCAACCGCAGGAGGGCAGCGGAUACUGGGGGGCUAGAGAGAGGUAGAGGCGGGUGGAAUUCCGGGUGUAGCGGUGGAAUGCGUAGAGAUCCGGAAGAACACCGGAGGCGAAGGCGGCCCGCUGGGCCUCAUCUGACGCUCAGGUGCGAAGGCGUGGGGAGCGAACAGGAUUAGAUACCCUGGUAGUCCACGCGGUAAACGAUGGGCACUGGGCGGCGGGGGGAUCGGCCCCUUCGCUGCCUGAGCUAACGCGUUAAGUGCCCCGCCUGGGGAGUACGGCCGCAAGGCUGAAACUCAAAGGAAUUGACGG
rnacentral:rRNA from 1 species